GACGAACGCUGGCGGCGUGCUUAACACAUGCAAGUCGAACGGAAAGGCCCUGCUUUUGUGGGGUGCUCGCGUGGCGAACGGGUGAGUAACACGUGAGUCACCUGCCCUUGACUUUGGGAUAACUUCAGGAAACUGGGGCUAAUACCGGAUAGGAGCUACUGCUGCAUGGUGGGGGUGGGACAGUUUGGGCGGUUGGGGAUGGACUGGCGGGUUAUUAGCUUGUUGGUGGGGUAGUGGCUUACCAAGGGUUUGGCAGGUAGACGGCAUGGGAGGGUGACCGGCCACCAGGGUCCUGAGAGAAGGCACAGACGGGAAGGUGCGGCAGCAGGGGGAAACCUUGCACAACGGCCGGAGGGCGGAUGCAGAAGCUCUGCGUGCGGGAAGCCCGCUUACGGGGGGAGAACCGCUUUGGCCUUAAACGAAGCCUGCUUGACGGUAACUAAUAAAGAAGCAACGGCUAACUACGUG
rnacentral:rRNA from 1 species